GGAGGGGAGUGAAAUAGUACCUGAAACCGUAUGUCUACAAGCAGUCGGAGCGAAAGCGACGGCGUGCCUAUUGAAGAAUGAACCAACGAGUUAUCUGCACUAGCGAGGUUAAGUGGAAGACACGGAGCCGUAGCGAAAGCGAGUCUGAAAAGGGCGGCGAGUUAGUGUAGGUAGACCCGAAACCGCAGUGAUCUACCCAUGUCCAGGUUGAAGCGCAGGUAAAAAUGCGUGGAGGACCGAACCGGUGAGCGUUGAAAAGCUUUCGGAUGAGAUGUGGGUAGGGGUGAAAUUCCAAUCGAACGCGGAGAUAGCUGGUUCUCCCCGAAAUAGCUUUAGGGCUAGCCUCAGGUAGUAAGUAUAGGCGGUAGAGCACUGAUCGGGCUAGGGGCCAUAAAGGUUACCGAACCCUGUCAAACUCCGAAUGGAUAUACUGCAGAGCCUGGGAGUCAGACUACGAGUGAUAAGAUCCGUGGUCAAAAGGGAAACAGCCCAGACCACCGGCUAAGGUCCCAAAUGCCGUACUAAGUGGAAAAGGAUGUGGGGAUUCAUAAACAACCAGGAUGUUGGCUCAGAAGCAGCCACCAUUUAAAGAGUGCGUAAUAGCUCACUGGUCGAGAGUCCCUGCGCCGAAAAUUUCCGGGGCUAAAGUACGGAACCGAAGCCGUGGCUGUGCAUGUAAGUGCACGGGGUAGGGGAGCGUUGCCACAGGGGUGAAGCUGGUCUGGAAGGACUGGUGGACUUGUGGGAAGUGAGAAUGUUGGUAUGAGUAGCGAAAAGAAAGGUGAGAAUCCUUUCCACCGAAAGCAUAAGGAUUCCUGAGCAACGAUCGUCGUCUCAGGGUAAGUCGGGACCUAAUCCGAGGCAAAGAGCGUAGGAGAUGGACAACAGGUUGAUAUUCCUGUACCGGCAGCAAUUGUUUGAGCGAAGGAGUGACACAGAAGGGCAGGCAGGCGCGAGACUGGAUUGUCGCGUGCAAGCGUGUAGGGUAGUGUACAGGCAAAUCCGUACACUGAAAGCCUGAGGCGUUACGCGGAGCGAGCAGAGAUGCGAGCGAAGCUGCUGAUCCCACACUGUCGAGAAAAGCUUCUAGUGAGAGAGCUGCCGCCCGUACCGUAAACCGACACAGGUAUGCGGGGAGAGAAUCCUAAGGUGCGCGGGAGAACCCUCGUUAAGGAACUCGGCAAAAUGUACCCGUAACUUCGGGAUAAGGGUAGCCGUCUUGGUGAAGGAGCUUGCCUCUGGAGCUGAAGGCGGUCGCAGAGAAGAGGCCCAAGCGACUGUUUACCACAAACACAGGUGCCUGCUAAAGCGAAAGCUGACGUAUAGGUGCUGACACCUGCCCAGUGCUGGAAGGUUAAGGAAGGAUGUCCGGGCAACCAAAGCAUUCGACCGAAGCCCCAGUGAACGGCGGCCGUAACUAUAACGGUCCUAAGGUAGCGAAAUUCCUUGUCGGGUAAGUUCCGACCCGCACGAAAGGUGUAACGAUUUGGGCACUGUCUCAACGAGGGACCCGGUGAAAUUGAAAUACCUGUGAAGAUGCAGGUUACCCGCGACUGGACAGAAAGACCCCAUGGAGCUUUACUGUAACCUGACAUUGGGUUUUGUUGUAUUACGUACAGGAUAGGUGGGAGGCUUAGAAGGCUGGACGCUAGUCUGGCUGGAGCCGGCGUUGGGAUACCACCCUUGAUACAACGGAAUUCUAACCGAGAGAGUAACGAAAUCCGGGACAGUGUCAGGCGGGCAGUUUGACUGGGGCGGUCGCCUCCGAAAGAGUAACGGAGGCGCCCAAAGGUUCCCUCAGCGCGGCCGGAAAUCGCGCGAAGAGUGUAAAGGCAGAAGGGAGCUUGACU
rnacentral:rRNA from 1 species